UGCAGUCGACGAGAACACCUUAGCUUGCUAGGGUAAGUAAAGUGGCGCACGGGUGAGUAACGCGUGGGUAAUCUACCUUCGAAUUGGGGAUAACGUUGCGAAAGCGACGCUAAUACCGAAUAACAUCCAUUAAUCUUGGGGUUUUUGGAUCAAGGAUGGCCUCUACUUGUAAGCUAUUGUUUGAAGAUGAGCCCGCGUACCAUUAGCUUGUUGGUGGGGUAAUGGCCCACCAAGGCAACGAUGGUUAGCUGGUCUGAGAGGAUGAUCAGCCACACUGGAACUGACACACGGUCCAGACUCCUACGGGAGGCAGCAGUGAGGAAUUUUGCGCAAUGGGCGAAAGCCUGACGCAGCAACGCCGCGUGAGUGAUGAAGGCUUUCGGGUCGUAAAGCUCUGUCAAGUGGGAAGAACCUGCAGUAUGUUAAUAUCAUAUUGCACUGACGGUACCACUGAAGGAAGCACCGGCUAACUCCGUG
rnacentral:rRNA from 1 species